AUUGAACGCUGGCGGCAGGCCUAACACAUGCAAGUCGAGCGGAUGAAGGGAGCUUGCUCCUGGAUUCAGCGGCGGACGGGUGAGUAAUGCCUAGGAAUCUGCCUGGUAGUGGGGGAUAACGUCCGGAAACGGGCGCUAAUACCGCAUACGUCCUGAGGGUGAAAGUGGGGGAUCUUCGGACCUCACGCUAUCAGAUGAGCCUAGGUCGGAUUAGCUAGUUGGUGGGGUAAAGGCCUACCAAGGCGACGAUCCGUAACUGGUCUGCUAGGAUGAUCAGUCACACUGGAACUGAGACACGGUCCAGACUCCUACGGGAGGCAGCAGUGGGGAAUAUUGGACAAUGGGCGAAAGCCUGAUCCAGCCAUGCCACGUGUGUGAAGAAGGUCUUCGGAUUGUAAAGCACUUUUAGUUGGGGGAAAGGGCAGUAAGUUAAUACCUUGCUGUUUUGACGUUACCAACAGAAUAAGCACCGGCUAACUUCGUG
rnacentral:rRNA from 1 species